UGGAGAAACCAAGCCAGUCUUCCUCUCAUACAGACCAGGAAUAAAUCCAGAAUUUGCCACUUAAACCAAGAUUUGUCUUUUACAAAUCUUGCUUGGAAGAGAGACAGAGAGACAUGAUGUGACUAUCUUAUGGCCCCUCCAGAAUGAGAAGUGCCAUUUGGGAGUGGGGAUCCUACAGAAGCUCACCUAAAAACAUCAGAAGAAGAAGGAAGUGUUCUGAGAAAUUUGGUUGUCGCUAUCUAAGACUAUAAAUAGGCUUUUAGGAAGCCUGAAAGCUCCUAUAGUUUUACUUGUUAUUUUAAAAUGUUAAUGUCAUUUUAGAGCUCAUGAAAGACAUGAGAUUGCUGGUGAAGACCUGUCUAGCCACAUAUAGGAUCAGCAAGAAAUUCAGGUUCUUCCAUCCCAUUCAACCUUGCCGUAGAAGAAAGACCAGCUCAUGACGGCUUGCUCCAGCUAUUUGGAGAGGCUCAGUGACCACACAAAUCACUUGGAAGCUGUUAACGCUGAUUGGAUGGAGUGUGGCCCUGUGCGAGGCUUUCCUACUGUGUGCCAUGUUGGCCCUCGCCACAGCCUCUAAAUGGGAGCAGGAGCCUGGCGUUGAGGAUGGUGAUGGCAAACAGACUGCCACUGGGAGGAUAAAAGAAAUGACUUCUGAGAAGGAGCUUGCUGCAAUCCCUGGUGCUUCCCAAUAUACAAUAGUGGCUUCAUCCCUGCCCCAUCACACUUCACAUGCACAGGGUUAAAUACAUCUGCUUGCAAAGUUGGCAGUGACCUUUUCCCACUUGUAUUUCUAGAGGGCAAAGUUGGCACUGGCCUAUGCCCACUUACGUUUCUAGAGGCCUGGGUGCCAAGAAUUAUGCCCUUUGCCUAAAGAAGCUUUGCAAGCCAUCCCUGUACGCUUGAGGUACAAGGAGAGUUUGCCUUGUCCAACCCUGCAGAAAGGCAGAAGAGCUUGGAAACUGUGAGUCCACAUUCCAGCCCCAAAUCUCCAGCCAUGCAACUCCCAUACAAUGAGAUGUGGCACAGUGCUUUGCUGGGUAGCUGCAGGGACAAUGGGGUGAAACAUGUACUGUGUGUGCAUGCUGCCUUUCCAGCAGUCCAACUGCUUCCUGAUAAACUGCACCAAGCAAUGUUGCUGUAGACAGCAAUAUCUAACCCUUGGAAUGGUUUCAGUCAAACCACACUUAUCUGUCAGCACGUGUGAGGAGAAAGGUGGGUGGAAGAAAAAAGUCAGAGCCGGCACAGCAGCAAAUAUUGACACAAAACAAUAGCAAAACAUUAUUGUAAAACCCACACAAAUGAACGGGUGAGUCUGUGGAUAAGCACAGCCCAGGCGAGUGCUUCAGAAUCAUGCAUUAAUGUUAUGCUUCCAGGGCUAAAGAAUGCACUUGGAGAAACACAGCCUGCGUAAGCACUGCAUGCAGAAACUGUGACGAGGGAAAUUCAGCAACAGGGAUUUGAGACAUGCAAAUUCUAGCAUGGGGCUGAGUUGAGCAACUAUGCACUUGCAGGUUUCUAACACUUAGGUCUGAAAAGAGGAAAAGGAGAAAAAGAAAAAGCACCUUGCUAGUUCUUUCACGUCACUGUGCACACGAGAACAGCUCACCGGGCUUCACCUGACUUCCUGUCUUCGUAGUCUGGAGAAUGCUGUGAGAUGCUACGGGUGUCUGCCCGUGAGGCAGCUCGGAACUGGCUCCACAAGCACUGUGUUUACCAGAGAAAACAGUAAAAAUCUCUGCUCAGUUCA